AUUGAACGCUGGCGUCAGGCCUAACACAUGCAAGUCGAGCGGAUGAAGGGAGCUUGCUCCUGGAUUCAGCGGCGGACGGGUGAGUAAUGCCUAGGAAUCUGCCUGGUAGUGGGGGAUAACGUCCGGAAACGGGCGCUAAUACCGCAUACGUCCUGAGGGAGAAAGUGGGGGAUCUUCGGACCUCACGCUAUCAGAUGAGCCUAGGUCGGAUUAGCUAGUUGGUGGGGUAAAGGCCUACCAAGGCGACGAUCCGUAACUGGUCUGAGAGGAUGAUCAGUCACACUGGAACUGAGGCACGGUCCAGACUCCUACGGGAGGCAGCAGUGGGGAAUAUUGGACAAUGGGCGAAAGCCUGAUCCAGCCAUGCCGCGUGUGUGAAGAAGGUCUUCGGAUUGUAAAGCACUUUAAGUUGGGAGGAAGGGCAGUAAGUUAAUACCUUGCUGUUUUGACGUUACCAACAGAAUAAGCACCGGCUAACUUCGUG
rnacentral:rRNA from 1 species